rnacentral:rRNA from 1 species
CGAACGAGGGGAUGCGUCGGGCCCUGCCACGGCGCAGCCCCACGGGGGGCGGGGCGGGCGGGAUCGUUCCAUCCUAUCCCGUGCGCACCCGGCCUCCCCACGAACAAAACCCCGGCGCGAAAUGCGCCAAGGAACGAGAAACGAAAAGAAAAGGGAACGAGCCCCCGUCGCGUGCCGGGAACGGAAAUCGCACGGGCGGCCCGGUCCCGUUCGAAAACAAAAACGACUCUCGGCAACGGAUAUCUCGGCUCUCGCAUCGAUGAAGAACGUAGCGAAAUGCGAUACUUGGUGUGAAUUGCAGAAUCAUGUGAACCAUCGAGUCUUUGAACGCAAGUUGCGCCCGAAGCCUUCGGGCCGAGGGCACGUCUGCCUGGGUGUCAUGUAUCGUCGCCCCAUCCGACUCCCUUCGCGGGGGACGGGACGAGGGGCGGAGACUGGUCUCCCGUGCGCUCCCGCUCGCGGUUGGCCGAAAUUCGAGUUGUUGGCGGCGGGUGCCACGGCAAGCGGUGGUUGACAAGACCCUCGGAGAAUGCCGCGGGCGAAGCCGGCACAGGGCUCCGAGACCCCAUUCGUUAUCGCAACGGCGACCCCAGGUCAGGCGGGACUACCCGCUGAGUUUAAGCAUAUCAAUUAAGCGGAG